CAGUCGCCGCGGUAAUACGUAGGUGGCAAGCGUUGUCCGGAAUUAUUGGGCGUAAAGGGCUCGCAGGCGGUUUCUUAAGUCUGAUGUGAAAGCCCCCGGCUCAACCGGGGAGGGUCAUUGGAAACUGGGAAACUUGAGUGCAGAAGAGGAGAGUGGAAUUCCACGUGUAGCAGUGAAAUGCGUAGAGAUGUGGAGGAACACCAGUGGCGAAGGCGACUCUCUGGUCUGUAACUGACGCUGAGGAGCGAAAGCGUGGGGAGCGAACAGGAUUAGAUACCCCCGUAGUCCCUGUCUCUUAUAC
rnacentral:rRNA from 1 species